GUGGGGAGAAGGAAGACCAAGACAGGGAGAAGAGAGCCAUCUACAAACCAAGGAGACAGGACUCACAGAAGAAACCAUUCCUCCUCAUGCCUGGAUCUCAGAUUUCUCACCUCCAGAAUUAAGGAGCUAGCGUCCGUUCGGUCAAGUUUCCUUGAAACAACGCAUUGCUUCCGCGGUGGAUAGUAGAAAACUCAGAGAAUUCACCUGCGGGACGGCCAAGUUCUGGGUUCUGUGGUUCACUGCUUGGAAUGAUGUCGGCUUGUGCCACCAAAGCCACCUUAGUGAAACUGGGUGGCCAAGACUGCUCAAUGCAGCGGUUGCCCAUAGAUGCUCCUCGAAUGCAGCCCGUGAAAUCCAUAUGUGGCCCCGCAUGUUUGCCGGCCCGUCAGCAGCCCCCCUCUGUGGGUGACAACGCCGGGGCAUCUCCCACCUACCACCUCU